rnacentral:misc_RNA from 1 species
GAUGAAGAACGCAGCGAAAUGCGAUAAGUAAUGUGAAUUGCAGAAUUCAGUGAAUCAUCGAGUCUUUGAACGCACAUUGCGCCCCCUGGUAUUCCGGGGGGCAUGCCUGUCCGAGCGUCAUUGCUGCCCUCAAGCACGGCUUGUGUGUUGGGCCGCCGUCCCCGGUUUCCCCCGGGGACGGGCCCGAAAGGCAGCGGCGGCACCGCGUCCGAUCCUCGAGCGUAUGGGGCUUUGUCACCCGCUCUGUAGGCCCGGCCGGCGCCAGCCGACACCCAACUUUAUUUCUAAGGUUGACCUCGGAUCAGGUAGGGAUACCCGCUGAACUUAAGCAUAUCAAUAAGCGGAGGA